UUCAUCGCACAUAUAUUAAAACUGGAAUGAUACAGAGAUUAGUAAGGCCCUAUAUGAGAAUGACACUGAAAUUCAUGACACAUUUUAUAUUUUG
rnacentral:snRNA from 1 species